AAAAAAAUAAUUCAUAAAAAAUUACUAAAACUUAUGUGUCCCCAAAUAAGAAAAUCACACUUUUCUCUGUCUCUGUUGAGCUGAUGAAGACAUACUUUUCCUUGAUGAACUGAUCGAAGAGUUGAAGCUAAUGUUUGAAGAACUGAUCGAAUAAUUGUAUAGCUAAGUCUCUGUCACAAAUGAAUUGAAGCUAAGUAUCUUUGUCAUUCUUUUCUGUCAGAUUUCUCGAUGAAGAACUUGAUUUCUCUAUUAUUUCACAUUUAAGAGCUGGCAGCUUCUCGAUGAAGAACACGAGUUUCAUCAUAGUUCUCACUGAAGAACACAAUCUUUUUUGUAUUGGGUUUAUCAGGGACAGAACAACGAAGAUGAUGCACUAAAACUUUCUCACUCAAAGAUUAGUGUUGAUCUACUAAAGAAAUAAUGCAGGAUUAUCGCACCUCAAUUGAAGAACAUUGAAGAUCCCCAUAAUUGCAUCAUACAAAAGUUACCCUUUUUCUAAAUCUUAUCUCAGCAUGAGGAAAUGCUUGGUGAGAGUCUAACUUAAGACCUUCCAAAAACUCCUCAUUAUAUUUCAAUCUCGUUUACAAACUGAUUAUGAGAACAUUUAACAGCUAAGUGAUUCCCUGAAUCUACCGAAGCAGAAAAGUGAAAAACUUCUUAUUCAGAUGCCCCCGAAGAUACACAUUCAUAAGGAUAUGAUAUUUACAGUAGUAGAAAAGGAGAAAUUCUUUGCUCCUUGGUGGGUGUGCAGAUAAUGUUUAAUGUAACAGUGAAGAAGUUGAUGAGUUUUCAUCCAUGUGAGUGGACAAAAUCUAAUGAAAGACUAUAUGCUUGUUAUUGAAGGUGUAGGUGACGUUUGAGAAGAGUUGGUUUAGAUGAAGAUUAGAUACUAGCACACAUUCAGGCAAUGUCAUGGGUCUUCAAUUGAUCCGACGACAUCAAUAAGUAUAGCUUAUCAAGUAAAGAAAUUCUAAUAGACUUUUUUAAUUCGUAUUCGAUUGUUCUAUGGGAUGUCAACCAAAGAUGAUGAUGUGUCUAUGUUGGCUACUUUGAGACUUAUCGUUUCUAUCGUUUUCUAUA